rnacentral:rRNA from 1 species
GGGGAACUCUGUAUCAAGGGGGCAUUUUGCCCUGCCUAUCGAAAGGGAACCGGGUUAAUAUUCCCGGACCAGCGUGUGGAUAAUGCAUGGCGACAUAAGUGAACUUCACGACGGCGGCGGGAGCCCUGGGAAGAGUUGUCUUUUCUUCUUAACAAGAAGCCCACCGUGGAAUCGGGUUAACCGGAGAUACGGUAGGAAGCUUGGCAAAGCACCUUACGUCUUGAGGUGUCCGGUGCGCUCUCGACGCCCCUUGAAAAGUGAAGGGAAGCGUUCAUUCUCACACCUGGCCGUACUCAUAACCGCAUCAGGUCU